rnacentral:rRNA from 1 species
CCCUUAGAUGUCCUGGGCUGCACGCGCGCUACACUGACGAACUCAACGAGUUUAUCACCUUGGCAGAGAUGUCUGGGUAAUCUUUUAAAAGUUCGUCGUGAUGGGGAUAGAUGAUUGUAAUUAUUCGUCUUGAACGAGGAAUUCCUAGUAAGUGUGAGUCAUCAGCUCGCGCUGAUUACGUCCCUGCCCUUUGUACACACCGCCCGUCGCUCCUACCGAUUGAAUGGUCCGGUGAGAACGUCGGAUCACGCACUAGACGCCGGUCUCCGGUUGAAAGUGCGAGAGAAGUUGUUCAAACCUUACCAUUUAGAGGAAGGAGAAGUCGUAACA